rnacentral:lncRNA from 1 species
AUGGCGCGGCGCGGGGCGGGGACAUGGCGGCGUCCUGCCCGUGGUCGGCCCGCAGGCCUGUCGGAGCCACCUGCGUGUUGGGUCGUAUUUUGUAAGAAGCAAGAAACGUUUUGUUCUCUGAAGAGCAAACUUUACUUUCAUUUGACCGUGGUUCCAGUCGGGUUUGGCCAAAACAAGGAUCUCUGUUCUCAGCCAGGACCAACCGAGGUGGCAGAAGCUACAUUCCCCUUACCUUACCCCAGGUAAUGCCUUUCUUUUAGGGCUCGCUAUUAAUUUUAAAAUUUUCCAUUUAAAAUUUCAAGGUGGUUGUUCUCUUCAGCCUUGAGCAUUUCACCUUCCAUCAGCAAAAAAUGAAGUUCAGCAAAGCCAGAACAGCUGGGUCUGUCCCCCAGCCCCAAGUACCACUCUGCUAGCUCAAAGGGAACAUUGUGCAGGCAAAACCCAUCAUCCUGAAACAUGACAUUUCCAGCUGUAGUGCCAGGUACCUAGGGAUAGGAUUUGGCCCUAAAGUACUUGAAUCAUCCCAUGCUAAAGACAGGUUUUUGUUUCAUUACCUUUGAUGGGAGUUGCAUCAGGCUCUGCAGGAGCCAGAGCUGCCCUUUGCAUCUUCUCCGUUUUAUGGUAACACACUCGUAAUUAAAUCUUAUCUAAAGUGCUCGAGAGCAGUUCUUGA